AAAAGUGUGUGUGGGAAAGCUACAGAAAAAGGUCUUCCAUCUGCAAACAUACAAAGGGAUGUUUUGAGACCUGCCAUUUUACAACCACCAGAAGAUGCUUUCUGUAGCCCUGCAAAUAUGAGGGNACCUGAAAGUGUCUCAGAGGAUAAGUGUGAGGAAGAAAAAAAGGUAAAGAUGCAGUAUGGAUAAGAAAUACCACCACCUCAACUUUUGUGGGAUAAAAACUGUAAGUUUCUUAUAUUUGUGAGUGAUAAUUUGUGAGCCUCCCUUGCAAUCUGUGAAGGACAAAAGUCAGCUGCUGCCACUUAACAGCCAAUUUCUAGGCUGAAAUGUACUGAGGGUUGAAGUCAGUUGCUUAGCAGCUUUCUCAGUUUUGGCAGGUUUUGAAAUUCGCACCAUUUUCGCAGAAGGUAACCCUUG
rnacentral:lncRNA from 1 species